UAAGGAAUAUUGGGCAAUGGACGCAAGUCUGACCCAGCCAUGCCGCGUGAAGGAAGACGGCCCUAUGGGUUGUAAACUUCUUUUCUCAGGGGGUAACUCCGGAACGUGUCCGGACUGAA
rnacentral:rRNA from 1 species